AGUGAACGCUGGCGGUAGGCCUAACACAUGCAAGUCGAACGGCAGCACAGUAAGAGCUUGCUCUUACGGGUGGCGAGUGGCGGACGGGUGAGGAAUACAUCGGAAUCUACUUUUUCGUGGGGGAUAACGUAGGGAAACUUACGCUAAUACCGCAUACGACCUACGGGUGAAAGCAGGGGAUCUUCGGACCUUGCGCGAUCGAAUGAGCCGAUGUCGGAUUAGCUAGUUGGCGGGGUAAAGGCCCACCAAGGCGACGAUCCGUAGCUGGUCUGAGAGGAUGAUCAGCCACACUGGAACUGAGACACGGUCCAGGCUCCUACGGGAGGCAGCAGUGGGGAAUAUUGGACAAUGGGCGCAAGCCUGAUCCAGCCAUACCGCGUGGGUGAAGAAGGCCUUCGGGUUGUAAAGCCCUUUUGUUGGGAAAGAAAAGCAGCAGGUUAAUACCCCGCUGUUCUGACGGUACCCAAAGAAUAAGCACCGGCUAACUUCGUG
rnacentral:rRNA from 1 species